GUCGCGGUGGCUAGGGAAAAUCGCCAGCGACUUGUGAUCGGCGUCGAAGUUCUUCAGCGUGUAGCGGAUCGUUUCCGGACUGCGUCCC
rnacentral:tRNA from 1 species